GAUGAACGCUGGCGGCGUGCCUAAUACAUGCAAGUCGAGCGAACAGACGAGGAGCUUGCUCCUCUGACGUUAGCGGCGGACGGGUGAGUAACACGUGGAUAACCUACCUAUAAGACUGGGAUAACUUCGGGAAACCGGAGCUAAUACCGGAUAAUAUAUUGAACCGCAUGGUUCAAUAGUGAAAGACGGUUUUGCUGUCACUUAUAGAUGGAUCCGCGCCGCAUUAGCUAGUUGGUAAGGUAACGGCUUACCAAGGCAACGAUGCGUAGCCGACCUGAGAGGGUGAUCGGCCACACUGGAACUGAGACACGGUCCAGACUCCUACGGGAGGCAGCCGUAGGGAAUCUUCCGCAAAGGGCGAAAGCCUGACGGAGCAACGCCGCGUGAGUGAUGAAGGUCUUCGGAUCGUAAAACUCUGUUAUUAGGGAAGAACAAAUGUGUAAGUAACUAUGCACGUCUUGACGGUACCUAAUCAGAAAGCCACGGCUAACUACGUG
rnacentral:rRNA from 1 species